rnacentral:misc_RNA from 1 species
UCCGAGUUCACCCCGGCAGUCUCCCAUGAGUUCCCGACAUAACUCGCUGGCAACAUAGGACAAGGGUUGCGCUCGUUGCGGGACUUAACCCAACAUCUCACGACACGAGCUGACGACAACCAUGCACCACCUGUACACCCCCAACUAAAUGACCCCACAUCUCUGCAGGAACUGGGUGUAUGUCAAAUCCUGGUAAGGUUCUUCGCGUUGCAUCGAAUUAAGCCGCAUGCUCCGCCGCUUGUGCGGGCCCCCGUCAAUUCCUUUGAGUUUUAGCCUUGCGGCCGUACUCCCCAGGCGGGGCGCUUAAAGCGUUAGCUACGGCACAGAAAACAAUGAAGUCCCCCACACCUAGCGCCCAACGUUUACAGCGUGGACUAC